GGAACGAACGCUGGCGGCAUGCCUAAUACAUGCAAGUCGAACGAACACUUCGGUGUUAGUGGCGCACGGGUGCGUAACGCGUGGGAAUCUGCCCUUGGGUUCGGAAUAACAGUUGGAAACGACUGCUAAUACCGGAUGAUAUCGAAAGAUCAAAGAUUUAUCGCCCAGGGAUGAGCCCGCGUAGGAUUAGCUAGUUGGUGAGGUAAAGGCUCACCAAGGCGACGAUCCUUAGCUGGUCUGAGAGGAUGAUCAGCCACACUGGGACUGAGACACGGCCCAGACUCCUACGGGAGGCAGCAGUAGGGAAUAUUGGACAAUGGGCGCAAGCCUGAUCCAGCCAUACCGCGUGGGUGAAGAAGG
rnacentral:rRNA from 1 species